ensembl:miRNA MIR191 microRNA 191
CAACGGAAUCCCAAAAGCAGCUGUUGUCUCCAGAGCAUUCCAGCUGCGCUUGGAUUUCGUUCCC